AACGCACCUUGCGCUCUUUGGUUAUUCCGAAGAGCAUGCUUGUUUGAGUGUCGCGAACCUCUCAACCCCGCCAAGGGUAACACUUUGGUAGUUUGGACUUGGAUCAUGGUCUUUUGACGGUUCUUUCGAGAUCGUCUUGACUGAAAUACAACAAGUUGAAUUGACGUACAGUUGCGGCUUGACCUGGUGUUGUAAUCUACUCAUCGGGAACGCUUCUGAAGGUGAAACGAACUUUAAAACCCUUUUUCGCUAGGAGACUAGUGCAUUAUGACCUCAAAUCAAGUAGGACUACCCGCUGAACUUAA
rnacentral:misc_RNA from 1 species